rnacentral:rRNA from 1 species
UUGAACGCUGGCGGCAUGCCUUACACAUGCAAGCCGAACGGCAGCACGGGUGCUUGCACCUGGUGGCGAGUGGCGAACGGGUGAGUAAUACAUCGGAACAUGUCCUGUAGUGGGGGAUAGCCCGGCGAAAGCCGGAUUAAUACCGCAUACGAUCCACGGAUGAAAGCGGGGGACCUUCGGGCCUCGCGCUAUAGGGUUGGCCGAUGGCUGAUUAGCUAGUUGGUGGGGUAAAGGCCUACCAAGGCGACGAUCAGUAGCUGGUCUGAGAGGACGACCAGCCACACUGGGACUGAGACACGGCCCAGACUCCUACGGGAGGCAGCAGUGGGGAAUUUUGGACAAUGGGCGAAAGCCUGAUCCAGCAAUGCCGCGUGUGUGAAGAAGGCCUUCGGGUUGUAAAGCACUUUUGUCCGGAAAGAAAUCCUUGACUCUAAUACAGUCGGGGGAUGACGGUACCGGAAGAAUAAGCACCGGCUAACUACGUG